rnacentral:lncRNA from 1 species
UCCCAUGUACCCUUCUUCCUCCAUGAUACAUAUAUACAAGAAUGACUUAGGGUAUUCCCAUGUACCCCACAAGUAUAUGGUCUCCAUAACCAAUCCUCAUAUCGGCAAACAUGAGUUUCCAGUGUCUGUCCAUUAGACUCAUACCUUUACGAUUAUCUAUCACAACACGCCAUUAUUUCCCAAUUAAAACCAUUAGCACACAACUAAACCACCAAUUCCAUAUAUAUUAUUAACCAAACCUAUAAGAAGUAUCAUCAAUCAUACCGACUAUAGCUUGCAAGCAAUGUCCUUAGUCAAAUGCUUA